rnacentral:lncRNA from 1 species
UUCAUAUAUUUGCAGCGGAAAUCUUCAACGAUAAUGUGAACCCAUGCCAUCUGCCUUAAAUGCCUAGGAAGUGUGCUAGCUCACACAUAUGUCACCAAGGUAUUCUUCAUCAUAUCAUGUUCUUUCAUGCAUGACCAAUAAAAUAACCAUUGGCAAGCCAAUGAAUACUCUGAAUGUACUCACAAGCAACCCAUGUUUGGAACAAGGCAAUCACAAUGGAUGAUAUAACACUAAGUAGGUAAGUUGCAGAAUGCUAAUUU